rnacentral:rRNA from 1 species
GAUGAACGCUGGCGGCGUGCUUAACACAUGCAAGUCGAGCGAAGCACUUUUGCGGAUUUCUUCGGAUUGAAGCAAUUGUGACUGAGCGGGCGACGGGUGAGUACGCGUAGGUAACUGCUCAUACAGGGGGAUAACAGUUGGAAACGACUGCUAAUACCGCAUAAGCCCACAGCUCGGCAUCGAGCAGAGGGAAAAAGGAGUGAUCCGCUUUGAGAUGGCCUCGCGUCCGAUUAGCUGGUUGGUGAGGUAACGGCCCACCAAGGCGACGAUCGGUAGCCGGACUGAGAGGUUGAACGGCCACAUUGGGACUGAGACACGGCCCAG